AGAGUUUGAUCAUGGCUCAGGAUAAACGCUGGCGGCGCACAUAAGACAUGCAAGUCGAACGAACUUAACUCAUUCUUUUAGUUUGAGAGCGGUUAGUGGCGGACUGGUGAGUAACACGUAAGCAACCUGCCUAUUAGAGGGGAAUAACAGUGAGAAAUCAUUGCUAAUACCGCAUAUGCUAACAGUAUCGCAUGAUACAGUUAGGAAAGGAGUAAUCCGCUAAUAGAUGGGCUUGCGCCUGAUUAGCUAGUUGGUGGGGCAAUGGCCUACCAAGGCGACGAUCAGUAGCCGGACUGAGAGGUUGAACGGCCACAUUGGGACUGAGAUACGGCCCAGACUCCUACGGGAGGCAGCAGUCGGGAAUAUUGCGCAAUGGAGGAAACUCUGACGCAGUGACGCCGCGUAUAGGAAGAAGGUUUUCGGAUUGUAAACUAUUGUCGUUAGGGAAGAUACAAGACAGUACCUAAGGAGGAAGCCCCGGCUAACUAUGUGCCAGCAGCCGCGGUAAUACAUAGGGGGCAAGCGUUAUCCGGAAUUAUUGGGUGUAAAGGGUGCGUAGACGGAGGAGCAAGUUGGUUGUGAAAUCCCUCGGCUUAACUGAGGAACUGCAACCAAAACUACUUCCCUUGAGUGUCGGAGAGGAAAGUGGAAUUCCUAGUGUAGCGGUGAAAUGCGUAGAUAUUAGGAGGAACACCAGUGGCGAAGGCGACUUUCUGGACAAUAACUGACGUUGAGGCACGAAAGUGUGGGGAGCAAACAGGAUUAGAUACCCUGGUAGUCCACACCGUAACGAUGGAUAC
rnacentral:rRNA from 1 species